rnacentral:rRNA from 1 species
AUUGAACGCUGGCGGCAGGCUUAACACAUGCAAGUCGAGCGGGGUGAUGGUGCUUGCACUAUCACUUAGCGGCGGACGGGUGAGUAAUGCUUAGGAAUCUGCCUAUUAGUGGGGGACAACAUCUCGAAAGGGAUGCUAAUACCGCAUACGUCCUACGGGAGAAAGCAGGGGAUCACUUGUGACCUUGCGCUAAUAGAUGAGCCUAAGUCGGAUUAGCUAGUUGGUGGGGUAAAGGCCUACCAAGGCGACGAUCUGUAGCGGGUCUGAGAGGAUGAUCCGCCACACUGGGACUGAGACACGGCCCAGACUCCUACUGGAGGCAGCAGUGGGGAAUAUUGGACAAUGGGGGGAACCCUGAUCCAGCCAUGCCGCGUGUGUGAAGAAGGCCUUAUGAUUGUAAAGCACUUUAAGCGAGGAGGAGGCUCUUUUGGUUAAUACCCAAGAUGAGUGGACGUUACUCGCAGAAUAAGCACCGGCUAGCUCUGUGCCAGCCGCCGCCGUAA